AAGCAGCCAGACAGCUUCCACAGAUAUAAAGCUGCUGGUCGGAGAGCGGAGACAGCAACAGAAACAGAUCAGACCGCAGCAGAAGAUCCAGAGAGGAAGGAGAAGAUCAAUCCUCUUCACAACACAGACCACUCAGCACUCAACUACGAGCGUCUCCAGUGAAAAUGUCUGCAGCUAAAGGCGUAGCGAUCGGCAUCGACCUGGGCACCACCUACUCCUGUGUGGGGGUUUUCCAGCACGGAAAAGUAGAAAUCAUCGCCAACGACCAGGGCAACAGGACCACCCCCAGCUAUGUGGCGUUCACCGACACCGAAGGCUGAUCGGGGACGCGGCCAAGAACCAGGUGGCUCUGAACCCCAGCAACACUGUGUUUGAUGCCAAGAGACUGAUUGGAAGAAAGUUGGAUGAUCCAGUGGUGCAGGCUGACAUGAAGCACUGGCCCUUCAAGGUGGUUGGAGAUGGAGGGAAGCCCAAAAUCCAGGUGGAAUACAAAGGGGGAGGACAAACCUUCUACCCCCGAGGAGAUCUCCUCCAUGGUCCUCCUGAAGAUGAAGGAGAUCGCGAAGCCUACCUCGGCCACCAGGUGUCCAACGCGGUCGUCACGGUCCCGGCGUACUUCAACGACUCCCAGCGACAGGCCACGAAAGACGCGGGCGUCAUCGCCGGACUGAACGUCCUGAGGAUCAUCAACGAGCCGACGGCGGCCGCCAUCGCGCGUACGGUCUGGACAAAGGCAAGAGCGGAGAACGCAACGUCCUGAUCUUUGACCUGGGCGGAGGCACCUUCGACGUGUCCAUCCUGACCAUCGAAGACGGUAUCUUUGAGGUCAAAGCCACGGCCGGAGACACUCACCUGGGCGGGGAAGACUUUGACAACCGCAUGGUCAACCACUUUGUGGAGGAAUUCAAGAGGAAACACAAGAAGGACAUCAGCCAGAACAAGAGAGCCUUGAGGAGGCUGCGCACAGCUUGUGAGAGGGGCCAAGAGAACCCUGUCCUCCAGCUCCCAGGCCAGCAUCGAGAUUGAUUCUCUGUUUGAGGGCAUCGACUUCUACACCUCCAUCACCAGGGCUCGCUUUGAGGAGCUGUGCUCCGACCUGUUCAGGGGAACGUUGGAGCCGGUGGAGAAAGCCCCUGAGGGACGCCAAAUGGACAAGGUGCAGAUCCACGACAUCGUCCUGGUGGGAGGCUCCACCCGCAUCCCCAAAAUCCAGAAACUGCUGCAGGAUUUCUUCAACGGCAGGGAGCUGAACAAGAGCAUCAACCCAGAUGAGGCGGUGGCUGACGGUGCCGCCGUCCAGGCCGCCAUUCUCACGGGCGACACCUCUGGCAACGCUCAGGACCUGCUGCUGCUGGACGUGGCACCUCUGUCCCUGGGUAUCGAGACCGCCGGAGGAGUCAUGACCUCCCUGAUCAAACGCAACACCACCAUCCCCACCAAACAGACCCAGACCUUCAGCACCCUACGCGGACAACCAGCCCGGGGUCCUGAUCCAGGUCUACGAAGGGGAAAGAGCCAUGACCAAGGACAACAACCUGCUGGGCAAGUUUGAGUUGACGGGAAUCCCGCCCGCUCCACGGGGGGGUCCCGUAGAUCGAGGUCACCUUCGACGGGACGCCAACGGCAUUUUGAACGUGACUGCGGUGGACAAAAGCACCGGCAAAGAGAACAAGAUCACCAUCACCAACGAUAAGGGCCGUCUGAGCAAAGAAGAGAUCGAGAGGAUGGUGCAGGACGCCGACAGAUACAAAGCCGAGGACGACCUUCAGAGGGAGAAGAUCGCUGCCAAGAACUCCCCUGGAGUCCUACGCUUCAACAUGAAGGGCAGCGUGCAGGACGAGAACCUGAAGGGCAAAAUUAGUGAGGAGGACCAGAAGAAGGUGAUUGAGAAGUGUGACGAGAUCAUCGGCUGGCUGGAGAACAACCAGCUGGCUGAUAAAGAGGAGUACCAACACCAGCAGAAAGAGCUGGAGAAAGUGUGUAACCCCGUCAUCAGCAAGUUGUAUCAGGGAGGAAUGCCCACUGGUAGCUGCAGAGAGCAGGCACGAGCCGGCUCCCAGGGGCCCACCAUUGAGGAGGUG